CUCUGCUGCAAUCAGAGCUUUGGGUAAGGCUGGUGGUUCCUCGUAGAAAAGCUGACAGCUGAUGUCUGCUUCUGCUUGGUUUUGUUCGACGAUGCCUUGCUUGACUGCCAGCCAUGGAACUGGAAACACGCAAUGCCUUGUCUGGAGCUUCCCAGGUGGCUCAUGGGGUUGGAAAGAGUUGGACCUGACUUAGAGACUGAACAACAACAACGGAAGUGGCACUGUGGUGGAGAAUCCCUCUGCCAAUGCAGGAGGCACAGGAGACACAGGUGGAUUCUUUACCCCUGAGUCAUGUCUGUGAUCAAGUGGCAGGGCAGCAGAUUACAAAUGCCAGGGUCUAAGGUAAGCCCUUUUUUCUCCUGCCUGCUCCAACCUGAAGUUGGAAUUCUCCAGUGUGCCAAGGGCACCCCAACACCCAGGAUGGCCCCAGAGAGGAGAACUGGGAGGCUCUUUACCCUGUGUGACUUUGGUAAGGCCUCUCCAUAGACUGCUUGCAGUGGGAUGUUUUGUGUAGCUAUUUUCUAC
ensembl:lncRNA